GUGGGGAAUAUUGGACAAUGGGGGAAACCCUGAUCCAGCGAUGCCGCGUGGGUGAAGAAGGCCUGCGGGUUGUAAAGCCCUUUUAGUGAAGACGAAAUGCUCCGACCUAACACGUCGGGGAGUUGACUUAACUCACAGAAAAAGCACCGGCUAACUCCGUGCCAGCAGCCGCGGUAAUACGGAGGGUGCGAGCGUUAAUCGGAAUUACUGGGCGUAAAGCGCGCGUAGGCGGCCAAAUAAGUCGAUUGUGAAAGCCCCGGGCUUAACCUGGGAAUUGCAGUUGAUACUGUUUGGCUAGAGUGUGGUAGAGGAAAGCAGAAUUCCCGGUGUAGCGGUGAAAUGCGUAGAUAUCGGGAGGAAUACCAGUGGCGAAGGCGGCUUUCUGGACCAACACUGACGCUCAGGUGCGAAAGCGUGGGUAGCAAACAGGAUUAGAAACCCGUGUAGUCC
rnacentral:rRNA from 1 species